rnacentral:tRNA from 2 species
GCCGGAGUGGUGAAACUGGUAGACACAGGGGACUUAAAAUCCCCCGGCCCCAAUACGGCUGUACGGGUUCAAGUCCCGUCUCCGGCA